CAUGAAAAAGAUAAUGUCACACUUCACAAAAAGGAAAUCCAAAUGGCUAGUUGAUAUGUAAAAAGGUCCUCAACAGCGUCAGUAAUCAGGGAGAUGCAACUUAAAACUACAAUGACACACUACCACACACUCACCAGACAGGCAAAACUAAAGAGUGAGGGUGUAGUUGAGGGUGUGGAGCAAGGGGAUUCAUACAUGGUUGGUGUGAGUAUAACACUUUAGAAAACAGCUUGGCGUUAUUUAUUCAAGUUUAUGACACACAUUACCACUCCCAGGUAUAUACUAUACAGAAACUGAUAUAGAUGUGAUGGAAUACAUCUAUGAAGAAUGUUCACAGCACCAUUUAUAACAGCCCCAAACUGGAAACAACCUAGACGUCCAUCAACAAUAGAACAGCUAAAUAAAUUAUGGCAUAUUGCUACAAUGGAACACUGUAAUAUGCAGCAAUUAAAAUGAACAAAUUACAGCUAUAUGAACCCGAACAACAUACGGAUUAAAAAUGAUGUUGAGCAAAAGCAGUAAGCACAACAGAUUACAUAUUAUGUUGUUCCAUUUAAUAAAGUUCAAAAGAAAGGGCAAAACUAAACAACAUAUUGUUUAGGGAUGCACGCUUGUGACAAAACAAUAGAGAAAAACAAGGAAAUGAUUAUCACAAAAGUUAGAUGGUCAACUCUAAAAGGGAGGGAGAGUUGUGUUCAAGAAGGUCACUGGGGGGGCUUCUGGGGUGCUGGCAAUGUUCCAUUUCUUGACCUGGUGAGUCACACUGAGGUUUCUUUCAUAAUUACUCAUUAUACUGAUUAACUGCUUUAUGCAUUUCAAUGUAUAUUUCACAAUAAAAAUGCGAAAGUAAUUGAAUAUUGUAGAUAGCAUUUCUAGAAAGAAAUUUUGCCAGAUAAUUUAGCUUAUGAAAUCUUUGACAGUAAAAACCACCGAUGUGGGAUAAUAAAACUGAUUAAACAGUCUCUCACAAGAGCUCGCUUUCAAGCGUAGGAGAAAAGAACCCUAUGCAAAUAUCCCUUUGUUAUAUUUUAACAGAGUAUGCAGAUCUUUAUCACAAACAAAUUGAUGAAGCAGGGAAAGAACUCUGUUACCUAAAACUUCAGAAUUUUGAAUGAAUGGUUCUCUCCUCUGGAUUAAUAAGAAAUAAAAGAACUAAAGAGAUGCAGACCAAGUUGGAAAUGCAUGAACUUCCUCCUCUCCAGUCACCAGUCCCAGCUGUUUCCUCCAGUUAGCAUGCUGGGUGGUGAGGUGGGUGGAUCUUGCCCAGUAAGCUUAGCGCAGCUGUUCCUUCGUAAGUAGGUGGCUGAGGGCUCUCCUGAGUGCCAUUCUAUCUCAGCACUAAGGUUCUAAGGUGGAGCCACUGACAAUGAAACCAAAUCAGGCUGCUGAAAAACCAAACGUGGCACACACUUUUCUGGAGGCGUCCUCUGCUGGGCUUCAGAGCUCUGGUGUUUGCUCUCUUUUUAUCUAAAGCCGACAGAAUUUAAAAUCUGAGGUGCUCAGCUUCACAAAAUCCCCUAUAUCUGUGCACUUUACUCCUUCGAUUUCCACCAGCAAAUUAGGAAAAGGGACAAAACUAAAAAAAAUUAUUUUGUAGCCAUAUUGGGCCAUCACUUAGUGGUUUGAUUCCCUAUGAAUCUUAUUUGGAAGGACAUGGCAGGGGAUUGGUCAUGAAAAGACAGUCAAAUCCAGGGUAGUUUAAGCAGGAUAGUUAACCCCGGUCUUGGAACUUUGGAUCAAGGGCAGGCAGGCAGGUGCUACUUUGUGAGUCUCUUCUCACUUGUGCAAUACCCUCCUCCCACCUCCAUCACUUUUUCUGCAGUAUUUUAAUAAAAACGAGCCCUUGGAUUUACCCAGUUAGAAGUUUCCUAGGUCUACUGUUUGCCGAUGGUGGUGGCAGUAACGGUAGAAACCUAGUCUCCCAAAUCUGACUAUAAACACUUGCUCCUUAACCCCUGAGGUGGAAAGACUUGUAAAAUCCAUUACUGCCGCCUGUAGAGGAGGCAGGGUGUGCCAGGGUCCAGCGAAGAACGGUGGAAUCUGCUUCCUUUCAUCGUUGCUGCUGCUUUUAUCUCAUUCUCACACUAUUCACCAGAACAGGUUCAAGCCAGAUUUCUGAGGAUUUUGGUCUUUUUAUCUUAAAAUUUCUUUUCCUAGAGAACUAUACUUUCAACUUCAUGAGUUUUUACUUGAAUUUACUUUCCAGGAUAACAUCUGUAGGAAAAGCUGCAUAAUAGUAAUAAUAUUUAUUUUAGAAAGGAAAUAGCCUUUGAGUCAGACCUGAAACACAGGCCAAAAUUUCUUGAUGACGGUAAUGGACACUGAUUAACCACCAAGACCAGCUCUCCAAAGCUUCAAACGGCAAGCAAGAACGAUUCCUAAAAGUGAGGCACUACUAAAGUCUCCCCUGAAAAACAGCCAAAAAUCCUUCCACAAUCUCAGGCAGGAUGGCUCCCUUCCCUCACCCCGGCAAUUCGUCUCCUUUUUCACUAAAGACUCAGGUUGUGACUCAAGCCGCACCCCCAUUUCCUUUCUCGGGAGGGGGCGGGGAGAGAAGAGAUGUAUUACAACUCUAGUCUUCACAAGGCUAUGCAGUUUACAAAGCGCUUGCAUUUCCAUCAACUCCUCUGAGCUCCGGGAGUGCCACGUGAGGGAGGCAUUCAUUCAUUCACCAAACAUUUGCUCCGCCCGACCACACGUUAUCGGGCGCUGGGUCUCGCCCCACACCUCGGGAAGGGUGGGGUGCGCGCUCUCUGGAGCAGGUGCAGAGGAUCAGGCUGCAGGACAACUCCUCGCUCAGUCCGGCUUUUCGAAGGCCCGUUUGGGGCCAAUUGCCUCACCUUCGGGUUGUGCGCCCGAGCAUGGCCGCGCAGCCUGGGCCUCCUCCUUGCUCCCAAAGGAGCAGUCACCACCUGCCCUGAAGGAAACCGCUAAGAGCAAGCUCUCUCCGCCGCCCUCGGGUCAGGGGUAAGAUCAGGCGGCAGCUUAGGCUCCACUCGGCUCCUCCCCUUCCUCUCUUCAGUUCUGACGCGGCCGUAGAGGCGGCGGCAGCGGCGGCGAGUCCCGCGGCCCGAGUCGCACCCACCCGCUCGCCGAACCCCGACUUCCUCUUCCCUUCGAGCGUCAUCAGAGCGCGUCAGAGUUGCCCAGGGCGGGGUGGUUGGAAAGGGAAAAAAAGGCCA
rnacentral:lncRNA from 1 species